AACACGGAUCCAUGAUGCGUCCGAUGCAACAUGGAGGUCACAGAAUUGGAGCCCAUCUGCCAUAGCAGUAUUUACCAAUGUUUGAGAGAUGAAUACUCAUUCACAGAGGUCGCUAUCAAAUCGGGUCCAAGAUGUCGCCCUAUCACAUUAAGUUUUGGAGCUCAAGAGCGACAUCAGCAACAGUGAGAGAAGAGAUGGGGAGAUGACAUCAACAAAUUGCAGUUUGUGUCAUUUAUGUUAAAACCUUAAGCAUAGGCUAUAUCUUUAUCUGCAAUUAUCUUCUUAGUAAGAUGUGUAGUGAAUGUUAUGUAUUUACAUGAAACUUUGUUUUAAGUAUUGUUUGUAUCCUUACUCAUAUACUUUCAUAAAUAUAAUUAUUUAUUUCAUGUAAA